GCCCCCAUCGUCUAGCGGCCAAGGACUCCGCCCUUUCAAGGCGGCAGCAGGGAUUCGAAUUCCCUUGGGGGCACCA
rnacentral:tRNA from 1 species